ACCUGGGUAACUCAGUUGGUAAAGAAUCUGCCUGUAAUGCAGGAGACUCUGGUUUGAUUCCUGGCUCAGGAA
rnacentral:tRNA from 1 species